rnacentral:tRNA from 1 species
GGGGGUGAUCGUGUCGCGGCCUGACGCAGCCCCCAAAAGUCACGUUGCCAACGUGAAUGUCGUCGGUUCGAGCCCGAUCACCCGCU